GGGCACUUGGCGCAGUGGUAGCGCGUUCGCUCGACAUGCGAAAGGUCACAGGUUCAAAUCCUGUAGUGCCCACAA
rnacentral:tRNA from 1 species